UCAGUCCUGCCACUUCCACUUACUGUUUAUCCUCUCACUGCAGCUUUGCCGCUCUGACUGGUCCAUGUCUCCUGUUCCACAUCUCACCACCCUGCUACCAUGCUCUGGAUUCAGCUCACCAUCACUCCCUUGGAUUUCCCUUUACCCUGUCUCAACCCAGCUCACUCCAACCUCAGCCUCCACAUCAGGUUUCCUACAACCACCCGAGCUUCCUAUGGCCUGCACUCCAUCUCUCUCUGUUUGGCAAUAAAUAUUUUGGGUUAUUCAUCCAGUUUCCUCGUCUGAGUCUGCUCUUGGGUUCCCCUGUGCCUCUCCACCUAACAGUACGAUCUGGCCAAGAGAUGAACCCAGCAGACUCCACUACUCUCCACCAAACUCACGUUGGUCAAGAGGCACUGCUCGAACAACAUGAUUAAGCCCUGAAAGCCCUUCUCGAGAACAUCAAGGAGUUUUCACGGAGCCUGUCUGACCUACGGGCCCGAACCUCCGCCCAGAGAUCACAACCAGUCCCAAGUCCUUCUUCUCUGCCCCGGGAGCCUUUCCUGGGCCACUGAGUUGUGGGAGAGACAGUCACCCAUCUGCUUCUCCUACGGUAGAUUCACAGAGGAGAUGAGGAAGGUCUUCGACCACCCGGUCUGUGCUUUGCCGCUCUGACUGGUCCAUGUCUCCUGUUCCACAUCUCACCACCCUGCUACCCUGUUCUAGACUCAGCUCACUAUCACUCCCUUGGAUUCCCCUCCAGACCUGUUUACCCUGUCUCACUCCAACCUCAGCCUCCACAUCUGGUUUCCUACAACCACCUGAGCUUCCUCUGGUCUGCACUCUCUCCCUGUUUGGCAAUAAAUAUUUUGGUUUAUUUAUCCA